rnacentral:lncRNA from 1 species
GCUGGAUAAGCUACUGGCUGUGGUUCCACAUAAAGAUCUCAAUAAGAAAGAUAAGUGGAAAGGAGAUCAUCAAUUGGGGGCAUAAUGGAGCUGCUAUGAUCCAAUCAGGGAGAAGAAAGAAUCCUACAAAAGAAGAUUAAAAUAAGAUAAAAAAGUUGUGAAAGUAGGAUUAAUGUCCCCUUUUUUUAUUGAUUGUGAUAAAACUAAGGUAUAUAACCAGUAUUUAUAAUAGAAAGGUCUACCUUUACACAAGUAGGGUCGGAUUCUUCUUCUAGUUCUAAUAGGACUAACUUUUCUAAAAUAAAUACAACUAGUAGAAACAAAC